AAGUUAUGCGACAAUUAGCGACCGGUGGUUUAUAAAUAAAACAUUUGUUCAAUUUGAUGGUGAGGGUUAUCGUUAGGUAUUUAAAGUUCGCUUGCUGUUCCUAUGGAUUGCAAACACGACAGAAGUUACCAAAACCUUGACAAACAUCAACGAUCGUUUUAAAAGUCAACGAAAGAAAUCAAAAUGUUUAAAAUUAUUAUGAUGUUAUCAAUAUUUAUGUUAAUGAUUGGGGUCGUGGUAAACCGUGAAGAAUGUUGGGGUGAUCCGUGUGGUAAAAAUACACCUUGUUGUGAAGCACACACUUGCGUUCUCAAUUCGGACUGGCAUCAAUAUUGUCGCUAAUUAUGCUAAAUCAUUACAUCUAAAAACUUGCGGAUUUAAAGAAAUUAAUGAUUUAAUUUAAUAAAUUUUUUUUUCGCAGUAAAAUAAUGCAAGACAGAAAUAAACUCUUAAAAUUAAAACGUCGUUGAAUGCUUAACGUCGGCUUCAUGCGGUCGCAAUCAUUUUAAUAAUUUGUCUUUAUAGAAAUCAAUGUAUUUUUUUGGUUUAGUUUAUUUAUUUAUAAAAAAUUACUGAAGUGCUUAUUUAUUUAAUUAUUAAAAACGAAAUUAGAUACUUGUUUAUUUAAUAGAAAUUAAAAUAAUGUUUUUAUUUUACUGUUUUAUUAAUCUAUAAAGAUGACAAUUAACCUAAUAAAAAGUCUAAUACAUGUA